UAUUACGAAAAGAAGUGCUGGCUGCAGAAUAAUUGCACACAAUGGGAACAGGUUAUUGAUUACUGGAAGGAGACAUCUGGUCAAAGAAUUAUAGAUAUCCAUAACGCCAGUUCUUUAAGCUGCAUUUUUAGUGAAUGGCCGCGCUAUAAGAACUUUCGUGGAUAUGAACUUGUAGAAAUAGACUUUGAGACUCUUUACCCCGGGAAAGGAAAUAUGUUAUUUUUGAAAUUGGAGAAGUUUUAUAAAGAAAUCCUAAAAAUUUUUGAUAGAGAUAUAAAAGACCGUGUUUCAAGGGAACUAUUCUUAAAGUAUUUGCACAUUGACAACAUCUCAAAUGAAUGUAAAUAUUGUAUAAGUACAAUUCUUCUACGUGCUUUGCUACAGCCUUUGAGGCUUAAUAAGGACAAAAAACCAACAAUAGCUGAUGCCCAAACAGAUUUCGUAACACUCGUUGCAACACGUAAUGAUAUUCAACCCACAAUAAUUGAAUUGAAGAACCAGUUUGCGGUAAGAAAGGAGAAACUACAGCCGAGAAUUAUCGUCGUUGGAUCAGAUUGGUCAUCCAUUUCAGAGUUUUAUGUUUUCUGCGGUGGUCUGCAAUUGAAAUGUACUACGUAUAUGAAGUGCGUUGACUGAAUUAUUAAACUAUCGUACGUUUAUAAGAUAGAGUAUUCACAAAGAAGCAAGCAAGUAUGGGCAUUUUUAGAACAAUAUUUUUUUGAGUUGAAAUCCGAAGAAUUUUCUUCAGUGGCAAAUCUUUUGAGUAAAUUAAACUAAUUUCGUCUAAUUUUGCUAUAAUGCCCAAUUUCGCUUGUUUCAUUUGUCAAAAAGCUCACUUAAAUCCUAUAGAGCUGAUUAAACAUCUAAAGUCAGCACAUGGUACUACACCAGUUUGUAAAUUUCAAUGUAACGAAUAUAUGUAAUUGCAAACAAAUUUUUUAUAACAUUCACAGAUUUCAAAUUCACCUCAAAAAACAUUUGAAAAUAGAAAUUCGCAAUAGCCAAUCUUGUAAAGAAAAUUCUCUUGCUCUUAAUAUUCCAAUUCAAACAACUAAUUCAUCAAAUCAACUAGUACCAAUUCAAAAUAUUACUUCUUUAAAAGAUUCAAUGAUCGCGUUUCUACUUCAACUGCAUUCCAAUACGAAUUUUUCUCGGAAAGACGUAUUCGAAAUUCAAAAUUCCGUAACAGAGUUAAUUUCAACCCCAAUAUGUGAAAUAUUAAGAGCCAUAAGUAAUUUUCAUGAAAAUAAUUCUAUACUUGAGGAAGUAAUUAAAAUUAUAUCUCAGCCAUUUUAUGAUUUAACCACCGAAUACAAAUUUUUCAAAGAAAUAGAAAAACUAGACCUGUAUAAACAUCCGAAAAAAUAUAUUGUUAGCGACUCUCAGAAGUCAUACUUAAUAACAACCCAACUUUAACCUCAGCUAGAACCGAAAUAACUCUAUCAGACAUUUCUUUUCAAAUUAAAAAAUUUUUUGAGAGUAAAGGAAUCUUAGAGGCAACGCUUUUAAAUAUGAAAAACUUUUCAGAAAACCUUCCUUAUACUCAUUUCAUCAAUUUGCCUUACACCACUUCUGAAUAUUUUAAAAACAUUGGAAAUUAAUGGCCUUCAAAUAAAUGUAGAUGGCAAAAGCUGUAUAAUACAUUUUAAACUAGUACAAAUUUUAGGCGAUAAUCUUGGUCUUAACACUGCAUUAGGCUAUGUCAGUUCUUUUUCUGCGAAUUCUUGGUGCAGAAUAUGUAAAAGGCAAAAACUUCAAACACGUACAGAUUGUCUUGAAGUCCCGAACUCAUUACGAACUAGAAGUAGUUAUAAUAGCGAUAUUUUACUGAACAAUCCUGUUGUUAGUGGCAUUAAAAAUGUUUCGAUAUUUAAUUCCUUGUCAAACUUUCAUGUAACCGAUAACAUUGCUUGUGACAUAAUGCACGAUUUAUUUUUGGGUGUUUGCAAAUAUAAUUUUUCCAAAAUUUUA